ensembl:snoRNA
AUCCUUUUCAUAAGUGUGAUGACUGGGUGUUCACACUGUUGUGUGACAUGUGCCCCCCUCAGACGUUAUUACAACCUCAGCAAUUACCCAUCUGAUA